rnacentral:rRNA from 1 species
CACCGCGGUUAUACGAGAGGCUCAAGCUGAUAGACCACGGCGUAAAGAGUGGUUAGGGAAAAUUUUACAAUAAAGCCGAGAGUCGACAGAGCAGUCAUACGCAUCCGAGAGAGAAAGGCCAAUCACGAAAGUAGCUUUAUCACCCCUGAACCCACGAAAGCUAGGGCA